GAUGAACGCUAGCUACAGGCUUAACACAUGCAAGUCGAGGGGAAACGACAUCGAAAGCUUGCUUUUGAUGGGCGUCGACCGGCGCACGGGUGAGUAACGCGUAUCCAACCUGCCCACCACUUGGGGAUAACCUUGCGAAAGUAAGACUAAUACCCAAUGAUAUCUCUAGAAGACAUCUGAAAGAGAUUAAAGAUUUAUCGGUGAUGGAUGGGGAUGCGUCUGAUUAGCUUGUUGGCGGGGUAACGGACCACCAAGGCGACGAUCAGUAGGGGGUCUGAGAGGAAGGUCCCCCACAUUGGAACUGAGACACGGUCCAAACACCUACGGGAGGCAGCAGUGAGGAAUAUUGGUCAAUGGGCGAGAGCCUGAACCAGCCAAGUAGCGUGCAGGAUGACGGCCCUAUGGGUUGUAAACUGCUUUUAUAAGGGAAUAAAGUGAGUCUCGUGAGACUUUUUGCAUGUACCUUAUGAAUAAGGACCGGCUAAUUCCGUGCCAGCAGCCGCCGUAA
rnacentral:rRNA from 1 species